UUCUAAUCUCCAAAAUGCCUCUGUGUGCGCUCAGAAAAGAGGGCAACGUAUAAUGUAAAUAAGCUUUGUUUGCGAGAAACUUCUCCGGAUGUGGUAUCCGCGCCUCCAACGUCGAAGCUAGAUCACCAGAUUGCAACGGGAAUAAGCGUCGGAUGUUUCUUUCCGUCGCUGGCUGCUCGAAUCACAAGCUCUAGAGAGUACUAUUAUCACACACAGGUCCCAACAUCAACUCUAUUUUUUUGAAGAACAAGCCAGGUCUGGCUCUCGCUCUUUUUUCCUUUUACAAGUUCACAUAAUCACUUAUACUU